CCUACGGGAGGCAGCAGUGGGGGAUAUUGCACAAUGGGGGAAACCCUGAUGCAGCGACGCCGCGUGUGGGAAGACGGUCCUCUGGAUUGUAAACCACUGUCCCCAGGGACGAAGAUGACGGUACCUGGGGAGGAAGCUCCGGCUAACUACGUGUCAGCAGCCGCGGUAAUACGUAGGGAGCGAGCGUUGUCCGGAAUUACUGGGUGUAAAGGGAGCGUAGGCGGGACUGCAAGUUGGGUGGUAAAUCUACCGGCUCAACCGUGGAAUUGCAGUUGAAACUGGAGGCCUUGAGUGCACACAGGGAUGCCGGAAUACAUGGUGUAGCGGUGAAAUGCUUAGAUAUCAUGAAGAACUCCGAUCGCGAAGGCAAGUGUCCGGGGUGCAACUGACGCUGAGGCACGAGAGUGCGGGUAUCAAACAGGAUUAGAUACCCCAGUAGUC
rnacentral:rRNA from 1 species